GCCCCCAUCGUCUAGCGGCCUAGGACACAGCCCUUUCAAGGCUGCGGCGGGGGUUCGAAUCCCCCUGGGGGCG
rnacentral:tRNA from 1 species